UCUCGCUGAGUGCUCAGAGGUGAAUCCCGCAGGUUGCUUCUCAGUAAUACAGAGCAGAAAUUCACUUCUUUUUCUCAGCAGUGCGCACAGCGACAGGCUUUCCUCUGCUGAAUCUAGAGAAACACUUGUGUGAAACCUGAGCUGGAUUAUUUUGGCUAGCAGGCCUGCCCCACUCUCCCUCACGCUCCCUCCUGAGGCACACUAUGACAUCACAAUGAUUUCCUGAGAAACCAGGCUGAUGCAGAAGUUGUGAAACAGCUGGCGAGCUGAUGUGUCGUUUCUUGCUCGUGGGGUGAUUUGGCUGAAACUGCUGGCUCAGGCUAAUGGAUGCUGGAGGUUAAUGAAGCUGAUUGCAAG
ensembl:lncRNA